CAAUAGCGUAUAUUUAAGUUGUUGCAGUUAAAAAGCUCGUAGUCGGAUUUUGGCUGAGAACGAUCGGUCCGCCGUUAGGUGUGCACUGAUUGGUCUCAGCUUCCUGGUGAGGAGGUGUGCUUCACGGCCACUUAGUCACCGUGGUUACUUUGAAAAAAUUAGAGUGUUCAAAGCGGGCUUACGCUUGAAUAUAUUAGCAUGGAAUAACACCAUAGGACUCCUGUCCUAUUUCGUUGGUCACGGGACGGGAGUAAUGAUUAAGAGGAACAGUCGGGGGCAUUCGUAUUUCAUUGUCAGAGGUGAAAUUCUUGGAUUUAUGAAAGACGAACUUCUGCGAAAGCAUUUGCCAAGGAUGUUUUCAUUGA
rnacentral:rRNA from 1 species